rnacentral:rRNA from 1 species
UGCCAGACUCCUACGGGAGGCAGCAGUGGGGAAUAUUGCACAAUGGGGGAAACCCUGAUGCAGCGACGCCGCGUGAGUGAAGAAGUAUUUCGGUAUGUAAAGCUCUAUCAGCAGGGAAGAAAAUGACGGUACCUGAUUAAGAAGCCCCGGCUAACUACGUGCCAGCAGCCGCGGUAAUACGUAGGGGGCAAGCGUUAUCCGGAUUUACUGGGUGUAAAGGGAGCGUAGACGGCAGCACAAGUCUGGAGUGAAAUGCAGGGGCUUAACCCCGGAACUGCUUUGGAAACUGUGCAGCUAGAGUGCAGGAGAGGUAAGUGGAAUUCCUAGUGUAGCGGUGAAAUGCGUAGAUAUUAGGAGGAACACCAGUGGCGAAGGCGGCUUACUGGACUGUAACUGACGUUGAGGCUCGAAAGCGUGGGGAGCAAACAGGAUUAGAUACCCGCGUA